rnacentral:rRNA from 1 species
AUUGAACGCUAGCGGGAUGCCUUACACAUGCAAGUCGAACGGAGUGGCGAACGGGUGAGCAAUGUAUCGGAACGUGCCCAGUAGCGGGGGAUAACUACGCGAAAGCGUAGCUAAUACCGCAUACUAUUGGAGCGGCCGAUAUCGGAUUAGCUAGUUGGUGGGGUAACGGCUUACCAAGGCGACGAUCCGUAGCUGGUUUGAGAGGACGACCGGCCACACUGGAAAGUAAACACGGCCCAGACUCCUACGGGAGGCAGCAGUGGGGAAUUUUGGACAAUGGGGGAAACCCCGAUCCAGCCAUCCCGCGUGUGCGAUGAAGGCUUUCGGGUUGUAAAGCACUUUUGGCAGGAAAGCGGUACCUGCAGAAUAAGCACCGGCUAACUACGUGCCAGCCGCCGCGGUAAUUC